UGAAAAAUAAAUUAAAAAAAUUAUAAGACUUCAAAUCUUAACAUACUAGCAUAUCUGGUUUUUUCAG
rnacentral:tRNA from 1 species